CACACCAUUAGCUGCCCUUUGUAGCUUCCCAAAUUGUUCAGCACCAGCUGCUGCUCUUGGAGACGUGCGGCUGGUGAGAAUGGAACUAAUUGUCUGAGCCAAGAAAACAGCAAGGUAACUGAUGAAGAACCCUCCAUGGCACAAACAAGCAUGCAAGUGUUAAAUAAAAGACUUGGGAAAUAAUCCAGAUACUUGAAAUGAGGAAUACAGAAUCCUGUUUCUUGGCAACUGCCCUUAUAAACAUCUGGUGGAAGCUGUUGCUACAGAAAAAGAAUACUAACCUUGAUGGAACAUUGGCCUAAUUCGUUAUGAUCGUCCCUAUGUUCUUCAUAAAGCAGACCCUAUGUCUGUCA